GAAACAGCUUUCAGUUAGAAAGCCAUCGAGAAGACCAUUGGAAAAAACUAAAGUCAAAUAAUAAACCUACCUACAUUAUUUUACUUACCAAAUCCACCACCCAUGUUUGAUCCCCCUUCACGAAAAUCGGUGUAAAAGGUAAGAUUAUACUAUAAGGAGUAAAUAAUUCUAAAGCUCUUAAAAAAUGUAAUAACAGAAGUUUAACAAUUUAGUAUUUUUAUAAAACAUUUUACCUGUUAAAAAAAAAAAAAAAUACUAAUAAGGAGUUUAUAAGAAAUAAUAUUAUGAAAUCAUCAAAUAUAAAGAAUUAUUACAAUUAUGCAUUAAUUAUUUGAAAGUAAUCUUUACCUUGUUUAAAUAAUUUAAUCUCAUUUUUGUUUAGUGUGAUAUAUUUAUAUUUUUUAAACAAUUCUCAAUAUUUUUACAUACCUUGACUUGAUAAUUGUGUUUCAAUUAUGCAAUAAGUUUUGUUUCAUACCUACCAUUCAAUUUAAUAUAUAUCAUACAAAUUCUUAUUUGACUACUUUAAAGUUCAAAUAUUAAACUUCUUUUUUUCAGAAUUCUAAUAUAGCUCUACAAAAUCUUGAAAAUUUAGAAAUCAUGAUGAGCCUACAUUCAAUAUCACAAACCUACAUUGUUCAAGAUAAAGUUCUGG